GGUUUGAUUCUGGCUCAGAUUGGGCCUUGGCGGGAUGCUACACAUGCAAGUCGAACGGCAACACAGACUUCCGGUCUGGUGGCGAGUGGCGAACAGGUGAGUAAUGUAUCGGAACGUGCCUAGUAGCGGGGGAUAACUACGCGAAAGCGUAGCUAAUACCGCAUACGCCCUUCGGGGGAAAGCAGGGGACCUUCGGGCCUCGCACUAUUAAGCGGCCGAUAUCGGAUUAGCUAGUUGGUGGGGUAACGGCUCACCAAGGCGACGAUCCGUAGCUGGUUUGAGAAGGACGACCAGCCACACUGGGACUGAGACACGGCCCAGACUCCUACGGGAGGCAGCAGUGGGGAAUUUUGAGGACCAAUGGGGAAACCUGAUCCAGCCAUCCCGCGUGUGCGAUGAAGGCCUUCGGGUUGUAAAGCACUUUUGGCAGGAAAGAAACGGCACGGGAUAAUACCCCGUGCAACUGACGAAAUACCUGCAGAAUAAGCACCGGCUAACUACGUGCCAGCAGCCGCGGUAAUACGUAGGGUGCAAGCGUUAAUCAGAUUACUGGGCGUAAAGCGUGCGCAGGCGGUUCGGAAAAGAAAGAUGUGAAAUCCCAGAGCUUAACUUUGGGAACUGCAUUUUUAACUACCGAGCUAGAGUGUGUCAGAGGGAGGUGGAAUUCCGCGUGUAGCAGUGAAAUGCGUAGAUAUGCGGAGGAACACCGAUGGCGAGGCAGCCUCCUGGGAUAACACUGACGCUCAUGCACGAAGCGUGGGAGCAAACAGGAUUAGAUACCCUGGUAGUCCACGCCCUAAACGAUGUCAACUAGCUGUUGGGGCCUUCGGGCCUUGGUAGCGCAGCUAACGCGUGAAGUUGACCGCCUGGGGAGUACGGUCCGCAAGAUUAAAGCUCAAAGGAAUUGACGGGGACCCGCACAAGCGGUGGAUGAUGUGGAUUAAUUCGAUGCAACGCGAAAAACCUUACCUACCCUUGACAUGUCUGGAAUCCCGAAGAGAUUUGGGGGUGCCAUGAAAGCCGGAACACAGGUGCUGCAUAGCUGUCGUCAGCUCGUGUCGUGAGAUGUUGGGUUAAGUCCCGCAACGAGCGCAACCCUUGUCAUUAGUUGCUACGAAAGGGCACUCUAAUGAGACUGCCGGUGACAAACCGGAGGAAGGUGGGGAUGACGUCAAGUCCUCAUGGCUUCCCUUAUGGGUAGGGCUUCACACGUCAUACAAUGGUCGGGACAGAGGGUCGCCAACCCGCGAGGAGCCAAUCCCGAAACCCGAUCGUAGUCCGGAUCGCAGUCUGCAACUCGACUGCGUGAAGUCGGAAUCGCUAGUAAUCGCGGAUCAGCAUGUCGCGGUGAAUACGUUCCGGGUCUUGUACACACCGCCCGUCACACCAUCGGAAUUGGGUUUUACCAGAAGUAGUUAGCCUAACCGUAAGGAGGGCGAUUACCACGGUAGGAUUCAUGACUGGGGUGAAGUCGUAACAAGGUAA
rnacentral:rRNA from 1 species